CCUGAAUAUUAGCCCUACUGCCCACUACGUUAUUCAACAUUGACAUUAUCUUUUAAUAUAGCAGAGAACAAUAUUUAAAAACAUUGUCAUUGUCUUUAUAGCCGACUAAUUGUUAAUCAAAGUGCGUUAUUAAUACAUGUUUAUUUUCCUGUUUAUGACUGACUGUUUAUGACAACACGAGCGAUCGUCGAUGUAUUAGCCCCCCUGUAUAUAAGCCCCCCUUGUAUAAGCCCAUCAAAAAUCGCUUAGGAAAGUAUACAAACCCAGGGCUUAUAGUCGGAGGUUUACGGCACUGUACUUUAACAAGCAAAUGUGCUGUAAAAUGGAACAGAACGGUGAACAUGCAGAUUCGCGAUCGGCCAUCUCAAAUAAUGUUAAUGUUGGGAUAGUAGCAUUGCAGACUGCAGAGGAGAGUGGGCAGUAAGGCUCUCUCAUGCACCACCCCAUGGAAAACAUGCACCCCUCCUUGCAGAUGAGGCUUAAGAUCUGCCCUUGCUAAUGUAUUAUCAUAGGCAUGAGCUAGAUUUUCUUGGUAGGUAAUAAAGCCAGCCGCUUGUCGAAACUGUUUUAUGGAUGGCCAUACUUGAAAAAUGACAAUUUGUGACACUGCCACUUUUUAAUAAAUAGCCAUGGCAAUGACUAUGUGAACAUGUUUGUAUAAACAUCACCUCUAUAUGGUCCAUUUACACGGUUCUCGGCACAUCACGUUUCCUCCUGGAGUCUUAAUAUAAGGCUCAGAACUUUGGAUGUAAAUGAGUAGUCUCCAAGUAACUUGUUAUUUUCCAGCCAUAUCAAAGGUAUCCAUCUAAACAUGUUUCCAACAUCGCCUCCAUAUGGUCCACUUUCACUGAUCUCUGCAUAUCUCUUUCCCUCCUGGAGUCUGGGUGAUGAACAACAUAAGGUGCUUCCGUUGAAGAAAUUUUUUGGCAAACUGCUUUGGGAGAGUGGCUAUUUCCAUAUACAAGGUGAGAGGACCUUGAUAUCAUCGAUGGUUCUCAGUGCAUUAUGCACAUAUCAACGGCCUGCCCUGGGGGUACACCCCCGGGACUUUGAAACAACAUGAUUCUAAUGCAUUAAUUCCCCCUCCCUCCCCCGGGAAAUGUGUAAGUCAAACUGCCCUCCCCCUGGGGCUUAGA
rnacentral:lncRNA from 1 species